UCGUCAGUUGUCGGAGUUUCUAGCCAUCCAAUUAGCUCAGAAUCACACCUAAGAUCACUUCAUUCGCUGCUAACGCGUGCUUACGCUGUUGGGCCGCGACUCUGGUGACUCUUUCGACUUCUAGGAUUGAAUUGGGCUUAUUGGGUUGUACGAGCCCCCCAUCCGUGCAGCAGCGUCUCUCUCUCUCUCUAUCUCUCUCUCUCUCUCUCUCUCUGUGUGUGUGUGUGUGUGUGUGUGUGUGUGUUCCUCUUCCUCCAUAUGUUCUUCGAGAUCCCCUAAUUCUCUUCCUCGAAACCAAAUUGUGUAUCUAGGAUUGAUACUCGGUCAGUGUUUCAUCUUAUUCCCCUCGGUCCGCCAUCCCCAUUUCUCCUGUCGGAUGUUGAUUGGUGAGCCAUGGAAGUUUUCUGCUGUGACUUUGGUUGAGGUGUUGAUCUGAUGUUUCCUUCGGGCAAACACAACUUCUAUUAGGUGUUCAGGAGACUUUCCAAAAGCAUAGAUGAUUGUUUCCUUCCUUCACAUGGGCAUGUACCAACCCCAUGUUUGUGCACCUAGAAGAACCGGAAAUCCUCAUUUUGUACCUUCGUGUGGCGGCUGUUCAGUGAGUGACCGACCUGGAUUCCAAUCGAUGCUGGAGCUAUGACCCCAUGGCGACGGUACUGGUUUCUGAGCGAUGCGAUGGACAACUCCUCGCCGAGAUACGACAUGAGGUCUACUCGGUUGCCAUGUCAGUUGCAUGGCGCGAUGGGCAGUGCCAUGGCGGUGAACAAGCAUAUGUCUAUUGGAGUUAUAUCUUCAAGAUUAAUUGAGAGACCUAAUGAAGGGCAAGGUGGUGGUGAUGGAUCAAGGUGCAGCCUAGCCGGUACCGUAUGUGAAGGUCACCAAGCCCCCACAAUCCAAAUGGCAGCCCCCACCUGAGAAUUGGACAAAGUUGGGUGUGGAUGGGUCCAUGCAACGGUUGAUGGAACUACAUGAGAUGGGAUCAUUUUACGUGGCUAAGAUGGUGUUAUCAUUUUUUCAGCGCAUCGAUCUCUGUGGUCUUGCCCCGACGCCUUGCACGAUGAACUUGCACGUUGUAUGGAGGGGCUGGCUUUAGCCCACCAAUGGACGGAGCUUUCGAUCAUCCUUGAGUGAGAUAGCAAAAUGGCAAUGGAGAUGAUCACUUUGCGUGGCCAAAACAUAUCAUUAUAUGCCAUAGUGUUUAUGAGGUGAAGAGGCUUUUGGGUGAAAGAGAGUGUGUGGUUACUCAUAUCCCUAGAGGGCAAAAUAAUGUAAGUCAUGUGUAAGAGAAUUUUGGUCGAACGGAGGACCGUACUGUUGUGCGGAUCCGAUCCGGGUGGGUUAACUUUCCUAGCUUGUGUAGGGAUAAAUUCUUAUGCUCUUGAGUAAUACACUCCUUUUUACCCCCGCAGAAAAAUAUCCGAUAGUGCCAUAUGAACAGUAGGAGCCCAAGCUUGAAACUAUACAACUUGACAACUAUUUCAUGCUAACAAAGGCCAUUAGCAUUGUUUUUAAUAUAGCUAACAACUCAUGUAGGAACAGCUGUUAAAUUCAUUGGAAGUUUCUACAACUAGAGUACAUCGGUAUUUCAUGGCCCAAACCAGUAAUGCCAGGAAACAAUAAAAGACAAUUGAUGAACAGGCCAAAGAAAAUCAAUACAAAAAGGGAUAAAUUUUGU